rnacentral:lncRNA from 1 species
UGGGGGGACCUUGAAGUAGAUGUUGAUGGAGAGACAGAAGUCACAGGCCAGGAGGUCUUGGCAAUGGCUUUAAGGGACGACUGCAGGGUGGUGGGCUGGUGUCUGUCAAUGUGGCCUUGCUGCUGUGGCAGGCACAGUUCUGAGUGCUUCACCGUGUCUCCCCAGACCUCCAGAAGCCUGUUUGUGUCUGGAAGUGCUGCUGAGGCCAGAGACCACCGAUCUGUUGGCUGCUGGUGAUUUGACAUUUUCUCCUCAAAGGCUCCCCAGUGAAGGAGGCAAGCUGCCUGCAAGGCUGAAAGGUACCCGUGAGGGCCC